AGCUGAUAAUAACAGAGGAGGGUGCUAGAGAGAUGGCUCAGUGGAUUUAAAGUACUUGAUGCUCUCUGAGAGGACCUUGGUUUCAGUCUCUGCACCCACUUUGGGUGUCUCACAACAGCCUAUAACUCUAGCUCCAGGAGAUCCAAGCCCUUCUUCUGGCUUUUGUGGGCAACACCCACAUUUGUGGGCGCGCGUGCACACACACACACACACACUAAAUAAAUAAAUAAAUAAAUAAAAUUAAAACAGAACAAUUAAACAUCAUGCUAAUGUUAAUGCAUCCAUAGUAAUAAAAGUAAACAUGCAAACAUAGUCUCUGAGCAUUUCUGAUUGUAUUACCUCGCCUUCUUGUGACAGUGUGAUGUGGCACAACAACUCUGUGAUGAAAGCCACUCAAUUAAUGAAAUCUGCCAGGUGAGUAACAGCCACAGAGCACCAGGUUACUCUGUGAGGGUCAUUUGAACAGUUGAUCCGAUUAUCACACGGCAGAUGUUUAGUGUAUACAGCAGGAUGGUCUGGACAGAGGGGUGACUCACAUCCUGGGUGGGACUGAAUGGCCCAGAUGUGAGAUGUCAUUUGGUUAGUCAGCAUUUAAAACAUGUAACUUCUUUGUUCCUAGAAUUUCCACUUCGUAUUUUUGGAUGUAUUUGAGCAAGAUAACGGAAACCGUGGAAGGAUGCGCUUGGACAUAGCUGCCGUCCUGCAGGGCUUUGCUUACUCAGGACAGCAAGGAUGGCAGAAACAUGUUGCAGUAACAGACAUGUCUCCAAAAAAGGAAACUGGAGAGCAACCAGGGGUCACUCAGCUCUAUAUAACAACUUUCUCCAGAACAGUAUUUCCUGCUUACGGCUGCACCCCUAAUACCCAGCUGCUGAAUCUACCUGAUGUUUUAGUUACUUCUCAGUUGCUGUGAUGAAACACUACGAUCAAGACAACUUGCAGAAGAGUUUAUUUGGAUCUUACAGUUUCAUAGGGUGAGACCAUGACCAUCCUAGUGGGGAGCAUGGCAGCAGGCGGGCAUGGCACUGGAGCAGUAGCUGAGAGUUUACAUCCUUACCGACAACCAGGAAGCAGAAAGGUGUGGGCUUUUGAAACCUCAGAGCCCACUCCAGUAACACAGCUCAAAGCCACAGCUAAUCCUUCCUGAGCAGUUCCACCAACUUCAGACCAAGCAUUCAAAUGUUGUGAAAUAAUCCUUCUGUACAUUGUGAAGAUGUGUUGCUCUCAUUGUUAAUACAAAGCUGGCUGGCAGAUAGCUAGGCAGGAUUUGGAGGGGUCAAGAGAGAAUGUUGGGAAGAAGAGGAGUGGAGGCUGAGGGUCGCAAGCCAGAUGUGGAAGAAGCAACAUGGGAAGUUCAUAGAUGAGGCAGGUAAACUGUAGAGGCUCAUACAGAUGACUCCACUCCAUCUUGACUAAAGGUCAGAGAGUCCAAAACUGUCCUUAGUAAGUCAUAAGACCUAAAGGUCAAAGGCGUGGCCACAGUAGGAUUGUUUGACCUUGGCCUUGGGUGUCCUAUCUAAAUGACAACAGACUUGGUCUGAGGUGUGGUUACUUCUGACCCUCAAGGCCAGAUAAUGAGAAAUUAAAUGUAAGGUGUGGUUACCGAAUCCUUGGAGAAUUGAGGAAGAAAUGUCUGUUUGUUCCGUAUACAUGAUACCAUGUUUCCCUUUUUGGUUAAGGUAUUUAAGAAGGAUGAAAAAUAAACUUGUAGCAUUCAGUAGUGA